CCUGAUGCAGCACGCCGCGUGAGUGAUGAAGGCUUUCGAGUCGUAAAGCUCUUUGAUCAGGGAUGAUAAUGACAGUACCUGAAAAACAAGCCACGGCUAACUACGUGCCAGCAGCCGCGGUAAUACGUAGGUGGCGAGCGUUGUCCGGAAUUACUGGGCGUAAAGGAUGCGUAGGUGGAUAUUUAAGUGGGAUGUGAAAUCCCCGGGCUCAACCCGGGAACUGCAUUCCAAACUGGAUGUCUAGAGUGCAGGAGAGGAAAGCGGAAUUCCUAGUGUAGCGGUGAAAUGCGUAGAUAUUAGGAGGAACACCAGUGGCGAAGGCGGCUUUCUGGACUGUAACUGACACUGAGGCAUGAAAGCGUGGGUAGCAAACAGGAUUAGAUACCCUGGUAGUCCACGCCGUAAACGAUGGGUACUAGGUGUAGGAGGUAUCGACCCCUUCUGUGCCGUCGUUAACACAAUAAGUACCCCGCCUGGGGAGUACGGUCGCAAGACUAAAACUCAAAGGAAUUGACGGGGGCCCGCACAAGCAGCGGAGCAUGUGGUUUAAUUCGAAGCAACGCGAAGAACCUUACCUAGACUUGACAUCUCCUGCAUUACCCUUAAUCGGGGAAGCCCUUCGGGGCAGGAAGACAGGUGGUGCAUGGUUGUCGUCAGCUCGUGUCGUGAGAUGUUGGGUUAAGUCCCGCAACGAGCGCAACCCUUAUUUUUAGUUGCUACCAUUCAGUUGAGCACUCUAAAGAGACUGCCCGGGUUAACCGGGAGGAAGGUGGGGAUGACGUCAAAUCAUCAUGCCCCUUAUGUCUAGGGCUACACACGUGCUACAAUGGUGAGAACAAAGAGACGCAAGACCGCGAGGUGGAGCAAAUCUCACAAAACUCAUCCCCGUUCGGAUUGCAGGCUGAAACUCGCCUGCAUGAAGCCGGAGUUGCUAGU
rnacentral:rRNA from 2 species